UACGGAGGAUGCGAGCGUUAUCCGGAUUUAUUGGGUUUAAAGGGUGCGUAGGCGGGCUGUUAAGUCAGCGGUCAAAUGUCGGGGCUCAACCCCGGCCUGCCGUUGAAACUGGCGGCCUCGAGUGGGCGAGAAGUAUGCGGAAUGCGUGGUGUAGCGGUGAAAUGCAUAGAUAUCACGCAGAACUCCGAUUGCGAAGGCAGCAUACCGGCGCCCGACUGACGCUGGGGCACGAAAGCGUGGGUAUCGAACAGG
rnacentral:rRNA from 1 species